rnacentral:lncRNA from 1 species
CUUUUCCGGCAACGUACAGCCAUUGCGGGACGGGAAGCGACUUUUUUAGCGUGAUCCUCCUCAACAGGGGGUGCUGUAAGCGGCCGAAGCGGGAUGAACGCCCGCUUCUAGGCAGGCGCUGCUUCCGUACCCAGCACCCCUUGCGGCAUUCUUACUUUACAAUCAUUCGUUUGUGACCUUUCUCUCCUGGGGUUUCUCUGACUUUGAAGAUGCUGGCUAAUAUUUCAAAGUUGUGGGCUAUCUAUAAACCUGCACAAGAACUUCAGCCUAUCGUGUUUUCUGCAAUCUUAACAGGAUACUUUUUUUACAGACUUGAAUUUGGAGGUGAAAAGGCAGCAGAAAGAGCAGCAGCGGAAAAAAAUAAGAGAACCAAGCCUCAGCAUCAUUAAAACUUGCAAUCUUCAGUAUGAAUUUUUGAACUGUCAUCCUAGUUGUAAACGAGCUGAGCUACAUCAUGGGAAACUAAUUAUUCUGUAAGCAGUGUGCAUCAUUAGCACAGUAGUAAUCUGCCAUCUGUCAUGGAGUGAAUAAAUGUGUGUUCAAGAAGUGUGCCGAAUAUUUUAUUAAUCUAUAUUUCCUAGACGUAAUCGAUAUUUUUUACUUAUUUAUUAGACACUUUUUUCACUACUUUCUUUUAAUUGCUGCUCUUUAAUUGCCCAGCUACCAAAAUGGCAUGCAGUACUACAUAACAACAUUAUACAACACAGUUAUCUAAAAUAUAAUGCUAUAUUUAGCAUUCCUAGGGUUCAGGUUCCAGGAUACACUACAGAAAACUUCAGAACAUAAUAUAGUAGAUAAAGUAUGUUAAAAACAGCAGGAUCUAGACCAGGGGUGGCGAACAAGUUUGACACAAAGAGCCACAAUUUUAAACUGUGAGAGUCAGAGAGCCACACCACGCUCGCUGGCCCGUGCAGU